rnacentral:misc_RNA from 1 species
GGUAUAUAUACCAGUUAACAUUAAUAAGAAAAACUUGCUAGCAAUAGCCAACCAACAAUCUUUUCACGCUUUUGCAUAUCAAAAUUCAAAUUACAUUUCUGUACAACACACUCCUCUCUGUCAUUGCUCAAUGCUGCAGAAAUUCUCACUUCAGUGCCAAAAACAGCAAACACAGAAUGCUGUGAGUACCAACGACGCCACUUGCAUUCUUUACUUUUGCUCAAAUCUGUCCCUGAGGUGUGUGUUCUAUUGAGUCUAAACUCCUUUUGUAUGGUCAAAUCGCCCAGUUAUUGCUCGAUGAUAAGCCCCCCUAACAUGGUGCUUAUUGGAGACCCAAGAACCAACUCCUUUGAAAGCUACAAAAACCUGUCUCAUUGUAUCUUAAAGAGGGUCUUCAGUUUCAUGACAAGUCUCCAAUCCUCAACUGAGAGGUCUUUCCGGAAAUUGGCCUUGAGUAUGUCAAUAGACCUCCUUGAAAUUUUGCUGACAAGCUCAUCUUCCAUUUCAAAAUGCCUACCAAACAUCUUUUGUUGCUCCUCAGGGUUAGAUCCAACUAUCUUAAUGGCCACCCGUUGGCCUUUCUUUGCAGAGUCAACAGGCUUAUGGUUGUUCU